UAUGAAAUUGACCACCAUGAUUGAUUGAUUGGAAUAUUCUCCGAUCCGACAGACGCCAAAUCUUCCUGACGGUAAACUGCAUUCUCGAUUGAUCGAUUGUUUGUUUGUUUGUCUACCCAUCACUGGCAAACGCCCAAACUUAGUGCUUCCUGCUGUGCUGAUUGAUGUAGCUUCUUUGGCUAGGAAGAACCCAUCGGCACUUUCACGUCCGUUGGGGAAUCGUUGCAUCUGUUUGAGGAAUAAACCUACUAGGCAGUGCAAAAGAUGGCACUUGACAUCAAGAUUGACAUUAAAAGAGUCCCUAAUAAGAAAACCAUGGUUGCUGGUAUAGGUAUUUUGUGGUUUGUUAGAUCAAUUGAAGUUUUUGUUAUUUGCAGAUGUGAAGAACAAGUGAAAGAGCGGUUCUUAUGGAAGAACGAUUAUCUUCUAAUUUGUAAGUUCUUGAAAAAAAGGGUACAACUUGAACUUAUUAUUAGUUAAAAAAAGUGUGUUAUGUACAUGUCGGUUAGCAUCCAGAUUUUGAAAGCUCAAGAUGUCUGUUCAUUGUGAGGAAACAUGGAGAAACGUGGAUUUGACGAGUUCAUUUCAUCAUUUGCAACAGCUUCAGCCAUUGUUUAUAGUGAUUAGUUCAACUGGGAGCUCUGUGUGUUAAUAGGGAUCUUGGAGCGGACCUUGUUGAAAAAAAGACGGGCCAAGAUCUGAUAAAAAACAGGGUACUCUGUUUUAGUCACUGAUGCCGCCGGCUUCAUGGGACCCAUGUCAGCAUCGUCUUGAAGUGCCCACGGUGUUUUAGGGUUGCAUAAUUUUAAUGAUUGUUACGAUCCUACCCUCAAAAGGGCUCGUCAACAUUUGUUGGAAAAACGUGGGAUUUUAAUAAUUGUUACGCUCCAAUGAAGAAAGCCAGUGAGGAAAUUGCGCAUACGUAUAAUCAUAUUUACAGGUUGGCUUUAACGGGUUUAAGGUUUUUAUGGUUUAUGGACCGUGGGGUGAUAUGGCUUAUUUUUUCUUUACAAAAGAUAUCUUGAAAGGAAAAUCGAUACCUGUCUUUACAGGUCAUGUCUACUUUAUUUAUGAAUUCUUUAUAAGAUAUUGUAACAUGAAUAGAUACCUUUCAAGUUAUUACCAAGUGAAUUACAUCUUUCUAGGA